GAACGCAUAUUGCGCUCUUUGGUAUUCCGAAGAGCAUGCUUGUUUGAGUAUCAGUAAACACCUCAACCUCUCUUUUUUGAUAAAAAAAAGGGAGGGUGGACUUGAGCUAUCCCAACGACCUUCACCGGUAGGCGGGCGGCUUGAAAUGCAGGUGCAGCUGGACUUUUAUCUGAGCUAAAAGCAUAUCUAUUUAGUCCCGUCAAACGGAUUAUUACUUUUGCUGCAGCUAAUAUAAAGGGAGUUUGACCGUAUUGGCUGACUGAUGCAGGAUUUCACAAGGGUCGGCAACGAUUCUUGUAAAACUCGAUCUCAAAUCAAGUAAGACUACCCGCUGAACUUAAG
rnacentral:misc_RNA from 1 species